CUCUGCCAUCAUCUUUUAGGAACCGAAGGAGAUUUUAUUUUCUCAGAAGGGAUUUUUGCUACCAGAACAGGACGUGAUGGAUCAAGACUGGUCUCUUUUCACGUUGUUACCAGAUGUCUUUACAGGGCAAAAUCCAGAACUUUCCCAGCCCUCGGAAUGUGCUGAGGAGGUGAACUGUCAAGAACACAGACUGAUAGGAGCCUGGUAAAUGAAAAAGGAAACUACAAGUUGUGUCUUUGUUCGUGGAGAUCCUGUUUCUUUGUGCUCAGAGGUGCAGCCACUCAGAACAGUCAACUGGUGACUCACGCAGCUCCUUCCCCAACCCCCAACACUUUCUUUAAAACUCCCUGCCUGUACGCAUUCUCAGAGAUCAGGAUGUUUCUGAGCUUUAGCCACCUGGAAUCUAUUACUUGGUCUUGUAAUUAAAGCUUAAUUUCCCUCACUGCAA